GGGGAAUUUUGCGCAAUGGGCGAAAGCCUGACGCAGCAACGCCGCGUGGAGGAUGAAGGUUUUCGGAUCGUAAACUCCUUUCAAUAGUGAUGAAAUUGACAGUAGCUAUAAAAGAAGCCCCGGCUAAAUACGUGCCAGCAGCCGCGGUAAUACGUAUGGGGCAAGCGUUAUCCGGAUUCAUUGGGCGUAAAGAGCGCGUAGGUGGAUUGUUAAGCGAGAUGUGAAAACCGGGGGCUCAACCCGCGGCCUGCAUCUCGAACUGGCAGUCUUGAGUUUGGUAGAGGAGUGUGGAAUUCCUAGUGUAGCGGUGGAAUGCGCAGAUAUUAGGAGGAACACCAGUGGCGAAGGCGGCACUCUGGGCCAAUACUGACACUGAGGCGCGAAAGCUAGGGGAGCAAAC
rnacentral:rRNA from 1 species